rnacentral:lncRNA from 10 species
AGGUUUUCAUGGUUUAUUUUUACAGGUUUAACAACAUCACUUACACCAGCCCCACCUUUGCCCUCACAUGGUGGUCAUGUCUGAGCCGCACUGAUGUUGUUAAGAUCACAGUUUCCCUUGCAGCAGUCCAAAACGCCAUUUCAGGUUUUCAGAGCAUUUCAGGUUUUCAGUGAGGUCCCAAGGAGGAAGGUGGAGGAAAUAGGGGAUGGGGAAUAUAGAGGGUAGGGAUAUGGUGGGGGAAGAGCAUGAAUUGUAAUAGUCCAACAAUACAUCUUCCCUGAAAAUGUGCUCUAUUACACCAGUAAUUUCUAAUGAAAAACUUCAUUCUUCACACACUGUGGUUAAGCAUCAUCAAAUCAGUACUGAAAAGACCUUUGAUCGUAUUUGCAAGAUGCACUAAAAUGAACUUUCACUGACCAAGAUUUCAAAGUUUGUAAUUAAUACUCUUGAAAAAUCCCUGACUAAUCUGUCAACUCUCAACGUCUUUAACCACACAGUUCAAAACCAUGAGGUGGCGUACACAGCCCCUAAACUUUCCACAUAUUGUCAUAUGAUUAUUCAAGAUAAUUUUCCCUUUGGGUUUGCAUUAUGAAACUCAACCAACUUUGGUAAUAUAUUCACCGGUGGGGGAAAUACAAUGAUUUGAAUGAGUGUAAAAUAGAGUAUGGGUUUUAUCUAUCUGGUGCCAAAAACAGAACGUAGGGCCAGAGGUAGGAAUUAAAUGAGGCAGAUUUCAAUAUAAAGAAAAUUUUAAAAAAAUAAACUUGAAAAGGAACCCAAUGGCUGGUGAAAAGGAGGGUUUCUUCACUCAUAAGUGUUCAGGGAGUGUGCCCUCCAAUGGCACCCUAGAGAAGAAAAAUGAACUGGCUGUGAAGAGGAGUUGACUGCCAAGAUUCUUUCUAAAUCUAAAGUUCUGGAGCAGUUUAAAAUACUCCUUCUAGCCUUCUCCAUUUUUCCUAGACUGCAACAGAAACCUCAGAAUGAUUAUUGUCUCAAUGGACGGAUCCGGCAUCAUUCCUGUUAGUUAUUGUUUGACUCUUAGUUAUUGUUUGACUCUGAUUCCAGGUACCCACCCACCUCUGUUCCUGGCUGUCAAGAUGAUAAUAAUAAUUACCAUCCUUUCACUCACAAAUGAAGCCCAGUCUAGCCUGCUGGAGGACAAAAGGCCACGUAGAGAUGGACCAAGGUGCCUUGGCCAACAGCCAGCACCCACUGCCAGAUAUGAGAGAGAGGCCAUCUUGGACAUCCUAGUCCUGUUGAACUCAGAUGACUGCAGCCACAGGAGUGAUCCCAGUGCCUCACUGCUUCCAGUUGCUGGAGGAUAUGUGGUGCUGCACUGACAAAUGCCUCCACCACUGUGGCAGACGUGUGACCCUUGACGUUCUUCCUAAGUCAGAAUCUGUAUUCUGUGUGUGCCUAGUGUGGAGAACAUGGAUCUGCCCAGCCACACUGGCUCAGAUUCUCUGAGAGGACCAGGGCAGUAAUGGUGCCCAGGAGUACUCUAUGAUGUUGCCACCGGAGGAAGGUGCCAAGGAUAUCGGCUUCAGAGCCAGCUACCAUGUGAAAAGUCCAGCUUGAUGACCUAGAAGGACCUUUACCUGCAGAAGGACAAGGCUUCAACUCUGUUCUGCAGAUUCUCCUUCAGUAAAUUGGGAGUGCCCUUCCACACUGGUCAACAGGCCCCUCCCUGCUGCUUUGGAUCACCACCUUAAGUCAAACACAAUUCAAGUGCCUUCAAAAGAGCAGCACAUGGACUGGCAAAUCGUGACUGGUGAAAAUGGGCACAAUCAAGUAGUUAACCUGCACCUAUUCUCACUUUUUGCAGACUUCCAAACUCGCUGAAUGCACAGAGGCCUUGGCCUGGCUUAUCUCCUCCUCGCUCACUUAUCCUGAAGAAUUGCUUUCCCUUUAGACAAACAUUCUGUAAAGGAUCAGAUGGUAGGUCUGUGGCAGCUAAUUUCCCAUCUUAGUCCUUAUGCCUGACUAAGCAGUCAAUGAAAGAAAAAUAAACCUGAAACACUCACACGAGGCAUAAUCUCAUAGCGUGUGCUGUGAUUCUACUUCUCUCAAUUUACCCAACAACUACUAGAAAGGGGAGCUCCAUUCCUGUUUUCAUUGCCCACUGGCUGGCUCCUCCAGGGAGGGUCAGACCUUAGCUUGGUGCGUCUCCUGGUCCCAGGAACACAUACAUUCUCAUUGGUUUUCUCUGCAACCAAGUUUCAUUAGCAUAAAAUGACAUUCCACAGGUCUAUUAAAUAAUCAGGACUCCAGCUAAUAUUUUCUCUGAAUCAAUUUAAAUUAUAUUUUAUGUUGAUUUGUUCCUUCAGUUGAUAAACAAUAUUUAGCAUAAUCUGAAAUGUUAGAAUAGAGAAAUUGCCUUCCUUACCAAACAACAACAAAAUCACUUUUGUUUACCCUCACUAAAUAAUUAAACUUGAAGAAAAUUUACCUUUAAAAUGUCC